rnacentral:rRNA from 1 species
GAGAGUUAAACAGUACGUGAAAUUGUUGAAAGGGAAACGAUUGAAGCCAGUCGUACCUUCGGGUAAUCAGCCUUUCGGGUGCGAUUCUGUGGGGUGUGAGGAGUUAAACGCCUUCACGUUUUGCAUAUUCGUGCUCUUGGGUGUACUUGCCCGUGUGGUUGGUUAACAUCAAUUUUGGACGCCAUAAAAUGGCUGGAGGAAUGUAGCUUCGAUCUCGUAUUGAAGUGUUAUAGCCUUCGGUAGAUGUGGUUUUCGAGAUUGAGGAUUGCAACGGAUACCCUUCGGGGCUACCUAUCUGAUCUCUGAUCGUUGCUCUGGUGCCGAAAGCUUGCUUACGGUUAUCAAAGUCGAUGGUCAAUAUGUUAGAAUGGGUUAAAUUCGUUAAGGAUGUUGACGUAAUGGCUUUAAACGA